UCAGCUCUCCAAAGCAAGGCAGAAAUUUGCAGAACAAAAAUGGGUUUUUGAGCUCACCACUCCAGGAGAGGCUGCCUGGGGGGGAUCUCCCAGGGGGCUGAGAAAAGUCCCAGGAACUCAAGGUGAAUCCUGGAUCACUGUGAUUUCGAAAAGGUAAUGGCCACCACAGAACUGGGAUUUUUCCAGUUUGGUGUUCCACACAUGGGUGGUUUUACUUGGUAUACCAUAGUUACUAUGGCAGUCCUUUACCUUCAGCAUGAGCAUCACAGUUGUCCAUCAUUCAUCUGUCACUGCUGAGGUAAAUUAGUGAACUACUGUUCAAGAGUGACUAUGCAGGCAUAGUCACUCUUGCAUUGAUAAUUUUUGAAAACAUUUGUUUUCUGAAAUUAUGGAAAA